UCGUGUUUACCUUUAUGAGUAACAAUAUUCAAAUGUUCAACUAUAAAAUAUCACAGCGUACUGAAUAUAGAAAUCAUACUUAUAGAUAAUGAAGAUGUCACAAAAGGAUCAGAUACAGCCUUGUGAUCAUCUGGCUUAAAGGUAAACAAUACAAAAAAAGAAUAUAUGUGAUACAGUAGUUAUAAAAUAUUUCUCAAAACUCUGUUUUGACUUUAAAAAAU
rnacentral:lncRNA from 1 species